GAGGGCACAGCUCAGUGGUAGAGCACAUGCUUAGCAUGCAUGAGGUCCUGGGUUCAAUCCCCAGUGCCUCCU
rnacentral:tRNA from 1 species